rnacentral:piRNA from 1 species
UACGUCGAAGGAAUCAAGUCUUACACUGGUC